rnacentral:lncRNA from 1 species
UGCUUCAUUUUAUUUCAAUCGCCCUUCCUUCCUUCCUUCCUUCCUUCCUUCCUUCCUUCCUUCCUUCCUUCCUUCCUUCCUUCCUUCCUUCCUUCCUUCCUUCUUUUUUCUCUACAGAUGCAGUUAUGGGAAGCCUUUCAGAUUUUGUUGCAGCUAAAUGACUGAAUCGAUGGGCCUCAGACCACAAAAGAGACUAUGAGACUGGUGCCGUCGAGAGAGAGGUAGGCACACCCAUUCUGAGUAGAACCCUGUCGGGGUUGUUCCUAUUGCGGCGGGCCACGUGGUAUAUGGCAACGAAACAGAACAGAACACGACAUAAUGUCUGCACGCAUUCUUGUGCUUUUCUGAAACAUAAAUAAGUGUUUCCCGAGGAGACGAAUGCUGUGGCGCACACCAGCUGCUCUGGGACAGUUGAGUUGAAAGCCAUGGAACAAAAUACAGUUCAUUUUUAAAGCGGCUGGAAGGUAGGAUUUGAAUACAAUGCCCCCUUGGCUCUUUCGGUUCCUUGUGCAGAGAAUGGAUAAUCAGUGAGGUUCUAUGGCAGACAAAGCUGAAUUUUACAAGAAACCACAGUUAAGCCGGGCAUGGUGGCCCAUGCCUGUAAUCCCAGCACUUGGGAGGCUGAGGCAGAAGGAUUGCUGUGAGUUCAAGACCAGCCUGGGCUACACAGUGAGUUCCAGGUCAGUUUCAACUACA